AGGGGCUGGCCGGGAGGCCGGGCCCCUCAGAGCCCGGGCUGCCUGCGGGCCGGGCCGGGCCGGGCCGCGCCGCGCCGUUGUACGCGGCCCGGGGACGAGGAAGGCCACAAAGAGGGGAAAGGGGAGGCGGUGUGAAAGGACGAGGGCCGAGAGACCUCCCCGGCUCCAUUUUAGCCCACCGCGCUUAACGGAAGCGCCGCGGCACCUGCAGCAACCCGUGCUCGCUGCCUGCACUGCUGCCUUGCCCGGCCUGGCGUCGGCUGGUAACUGGGCCGGGGCACCACGCGGUGUCGGCACACCGGCAACGGCCACGUCCUGUGCAGUCAUCCACGGCAAGGUGAAGAUCAACUCUUACCGGUUUACAGUGGCGUUAACCAAAGGAAGAUACGGAAAACUGCCAAUUUUCUGAACAGAAGCUCAGCCAAUGGAACACUGAAAACCACUGCUCCCUUUUGUACCUAACCUUAAAUUUCCCGACUUUACCUGUACAAUAACUUCUUCUAUGUGACCACUAUUCAGUUUGUCCUGUAGUUUUUGCACAUCAGUCUCCUGUGUAUUCAAAUGCAUAUAAAUAAAUAUUUAGUUUUACUGCAAAGCAGAAAGCCCAGAUAAAGCAUGAAAACAAUAAUGUAACCAGAUCACACUCUAGUCUUCCUCAAAACUUACCAUCAGAUUAGCUGGCUUCUGUCAUUUUACAUUAUCAAAGAAAUCUCAUGCACUUUUCUUAUUGGAAAACAAAUAUCAAACUCUCAAUGAUAAAUAGAAAAACCGAGUACUAUUUAAUGACAUCCAAAGAAGCAUCAGCAGCUAAGGGUUUUAGUAGGUAUCUCGAAAGAAAAUUUUGAUAUUAGAUUUUUAUAAAAUUAUAUGUAACCUUCCAGUUAUCACCUUAAAUACACAAUACCAGUAUUCCACAGUUUAACGUAACAACAAGUGUUUUAAAAUGUUGAAGGCAAGGACUGUGCUAAGAUAAUACAUUGGUAAGAGUACAUGCAUUUUUUGUGCAAGUGUGUGGAAAUUGCCACUGUUCUACAAAUCUUAAAAAACCCAUGUUUUCUUCUAAUUUUCACAGAAAACGUCAGUAAGAAAUUAACAAUUCUCCAAUUAUUUCUGAAUUGAUACCUGAAAGUUACAUAGACUCCUGAAAAACAGCCAUUCUGAAAAUCAUUCUGCUCAUCCUAAGAAUCUUUUCAUGCGUAACAUUUAUGAAACAGCUCUGUACUUACCGUUUGCACCAAAUUAAAUCGCUGAUUUACAA